rnacentral:rRNA from 1 species
GAUGAACGCUGGCGGCGUGCUUAACACAUGCAAGUCGAACGAGAAAUGUAGACGGAAACCUUCGGGCGGAAGCCUUCAUUUCGAGUGGCGGACGGGUGAGUAACGCGUGGGUAACCUGCCUCAUACAGGGGGAUAACAGUUGGAAACGACUGUUAAUACCGCAUAAGACCACAGCAUCGCAUGAUGCGGGGGUAAAAACUCCGGUGGUAUGAGAUGGACCCGCGUUCGAUUAGCCAGUUGGCGGGGUAACGGCCCACCAAAGCGACGAUCGAUAGCCGAUCUGAGAGGAUGACCGGCCACAUUGGGACUGAGACACGGCCCAAACUCCUACGGGAGGCAGCAGUGGGGAAUAUUGCACAAUGGGGGAAACCCUGAUGCAGCGACGCCGCGUGAGUGAAGAAGUACUUCGGUAUGUAAAGCUCUAUCGGCAGGGAAGAAAAUGACGGUACCUGAGGAAGAAGCCCCGGCUAACUACGUG